CUAUAAAAUCAUUUUGUGUUUAACUGGCUGUUAACACUUCUGCCAUGUUAACAGCUAGAAUUUUAUGGAGACGAAUAGGAAGCUUACUGCUUAUGUAAGUCCUGCUUUGGAACUGCAGUGCAAGCUGUUCACAACAGAAAUGCAAAUAGCUUCACAAUCUUGAGCCUUCCAGUCUGCUCUUUGCUCCUGGAUUACUGUGAUGGCACAUUUACAUUUACUUUGACAACACUACCUGCCACUGAUAAAGAGGUUGUUGCCCCAUGCAGUACAUUUAAUCACAGUUUGGAAAUACAUAUUGCGCACAGUUAAUUCUGCAUUGGCACAGCAGAUUUCAUCACAGACAAAAGAUGUUGCAUUAUAUAAACUAGUCAAUUCUGAUCAGUGCUAUAAAAGUCACAGAAUAUCCUGAGCUGGAAGAGAUCUGCAUGGAUUAUGGAUUUCAACUUCUGGCCCCACAUAGCUCUACUGUAAGGAAAACUGUUAAUCUCAGCCUGAACCUCUGAUUAACCACCUGAAACAAGCAAUGAGUCAGCUGUGGGAGCACAGGUGAAGGUAAUUCAGCUGUGCUACCAGAAGGGGUGGACCUUGGCUCCACCUCUCCCAGAUCUCAUGUAAGGACUGACUACCACUGAGGCAGGCUUUCUUUCUCUGGAGAUUGUUCCUGUGUGGAGUUUACUGUGAACCUUCAACACUGCUGAGUCAAAGGCACUGUAUACUGCAGUGGAGGGCAUCCAAAACACACAGAGGAGAGUAGCAGCCUUAGCUCUGGAUUCCACAAUUUAAUGGAAUACAUGACUGUGUGGGGCAGCUGAUGGGGGAUUCUGAGGCUCUGAAACAGGACAACCAACCGUGAAGGCAACUGACAUUCCUAUCUGCAAAUCAGAUCUUAGAUGGGUCCUUACAUCAGUUCAGAAGAUUAGGUGAAGGGGAAGAUACAAGG